rnacentral:misc_RNA from 1 species
AGUCUUACGAGGGUGAGGAAAAGGAUGGGGCUAAAACUUAUUCUAGCGCCGUUGAUAUUAGGCCGAAGCAGGACCAAACCGGAGGUUUGAGAGUAAAUAUCGCUCACCCACGCAUGCCCUGGGGAAUACCCCGGGGCGCAAUGUGCGUUCAAAGAUUCAAUGAUUCACGUCUGCAAGUCAUAUUACGUAUCGCAAUUCGCUGCGUUCUUCAUCGAUGCGAGAACCAAGAGAUCCGUUGUUGAAAGUUUUUUGAAUUAAGUUAUUGACGGUUAAAAUUUAAA